AGUUAUUUCCGGACUGACAGGGUGCCCGGGCCGAGAGGGUCAUCCUCCCUCGCUGGCCGCUUCAGCUCCGGAAUUUCCAAGCUAAAGCAAUCGGGCGGCGGUGGCAGGGCGAUGACCCCGGGGGCUGCUCCCGGCCUCCACGCCUCCCGUUUCCCGGCCAGGCUAAGCUUGAAUCACGGUCUACACCGCGCUAAGCGGUUUAUUAAGUACUUUUAAAUACUGCCAACUUCCCCGGAGAGUGGAGACUGUUAUUGUGUCCAUUUCACAAAGCGGUAAACUGAGACUCCAGGCUGCGAGGGGGUCCGAACUCAAGUCCUCCCUCUCCAGCUUACGCAGGCCUCUUUAAUCGAGUGGAUGAGCCCCCUGCCUGGGUGGGGGCCCAGGAAUCCUCCCCGGGCUCCCUCCACUGAGGGAUGCCCCUCCCCCUAGGUCACGUCCACACCUAGCUGACACGGGCAUUUCUCGAGAAGCGGCCAGAGCAGAGCCAGGCACCUCCCGGCGACCGCUAACCGUGGGAGUGACGAAGCGCGGUCUCACCACGUCCGGGGAAAUCGGCGUCCUCUCUCUACACCCGAGGGCACUCACCCCGGCGGCCUCCUCGCUUCCCCUUUCGGC
rnacentral:lncRNA from 1 species